rnacentral:ncRNA from 1 species
CAACUUCAAAUCAUAUGGGACUACCCCAUGAAAAUAAGCAUAUUAAUUAGGGGAGGAAAAGAAACUAACAUGGAUUUUUUUUAGUAGUGGCGAGUGAAAAGAAAUCAGUUCAGCAUUAAGUCACUUUGUCUAUAUGGCAAAUGUGAGAUGCAGUGUAUGGAGCGUCAAUAUUAUAGUAUGAGAAAUUAACGAUUUAAGUCCUUCUUAAAUGAGGCCAUUUACCCAUAGAGGGUGCCAGGCCCGUAUAACGUUAAUGAUUACUAGAUGAUGUUUCCAAAGAGUCGUGUUGCUUGAUAGUGCAGCACUAAGUGGGUGGUAAACUCCAUCUAAAACUAAAUAUAACCAUGAGACCGAUAGUAAACAAGUACCGUGAGGGAAAGUUGAAAAGAACUCUGAAUAGAGAGUUAAAUAGUACGUGAAACUGCUUAGAGGUUAAGCCCGAUGAACCUGAAUAUCCGUUAUGGAAAAUUCAUCAUUAAAGUUAUAAUAUUUAAACAAUAUUAUACAAAUAAUGUGCAUUUUUUCCAUAUAAGGACAUUGUAAUCUAUUAACAUAUUAAAUUUAUCAUAAAAUAUGGCUUAUAGUUUAUUCAAAUUAUUAUGCUUGCAUUUUAACAUAGAAUAAAUGUCAUUAAUUUGAUAAAGUGUUGAUAGACUAAUAAGAAUACAGUGCGUUAAUUUUUCGGAAUUAUAUAAUGGCAUAAUUAUCAUUGAUUUUUGUGUUUAUUAUAAGCACUUGUAUGAUUAACAAUGCGAAAGAUUCAGGAUACCUUCGGGA